GGUAAGCUGCGAUCUGGAGCUGGGGCGGGGACUACGCCACUAGCGGGGCGGCUCGGGCUACAGCGGCCGGCGAACCGGCCAUGUGCUAAAGUUUCUGGGGCUCGGCUGCCCGGCGGCCACCCUCCGAGAUCUUCCCGCCGAGCCCAGGCGCGGGGCAUGAGGAGCCCCUGGGUGUCGCCUGCAGACAACCCAGCCUCGCGCACACCUCGCCAGUCGCUGACAGGGACAUGAACAGCAUGAUUGGGUUCCGGUGUCCGGCGGCCAGCCUCAGCCGGAGGCGGCCAGUGGGUCUGCGCUGUUUGGGAGAAUGAGGCAGGAACCCACCGCAACCUCUCUCUCCUCCUUCUCCUCGCCUUCCUCUGGCUCCCGCUCCCCGGACCCGGGCCGGGCUGUGGCUCUGCUGCGUGCCCUGCGCGCCCCCCACCUGCCUCCGGAUGCUCUUCUCGGUUAGCCUGGAGAGGAAGAUAAAGACAUUUGCAACCAAGAUGGUAAUCACGAGUGGAAACGACGAAGACCGGGGAGGCCAAGAAAAAGAGAGCAAAGAGGAGAGCGUGUUGGCCAUGCUGGGCAUCAUCGGGACCAUCCUGAACCUGAUCGUUAUCAUCUUUGUAUACAUAUAUACCACUCUAUGAAAGGCCCCACUCAGACCUCGGUGGCCUCAGGAUGGCCACGAGACAAGGGUCCUGUGCAUCCGUAUAUCAGCGACCACACACUGCGGGGGGACCAGCAGGUUUGAAGACCACACAAUGCUCCAUCAAUGCACCUUCGAACUUUCUGACGGGUCACCUGAUGAACCUGUCCUUCUGUGAGGAGCAGACACUAUGAAGCACAAUGAAUUCAGUGGGAUUCCUUCAGGCCACAAGGAACUCCCACAGGGGACCCAUCGGGAUGCUAGAAAGGCCAGCCUUCUGCACCGGCGGUGAGCACGAGGGUGAGGAAGUGUUUCACCCUGGAGUGCUGACCACAUCUCACACUGGAAAGAGGAUGCGUGGGGUAGUCGCAGCUCCGCUGCCCUCCUCCCAGGACUGGCAAGAUAAAUAAGCUCUAGCAUGAACCAAAUAUUUGGAGAAGCACUUCUGGACCCAUAGCUCUUCUUGGUUUUAAUCGCUUUUGCUCCAUCAGCUGCAAGACGUCUUUGUCUGUAGUCAUCCGGUUGUCUCAGCUCAUCUCAAGCCUUGUCGUCCCUCAGGUUCUUCUUCCUUCCCAUCCCUGCCCCUCCCUUCUCUCCUCUCUCUUUCCCCUGUCUCUCCCUUCCAUCUCUUAAUUCCCCUAUCCUUCCCCAUCUCCCCACCCCCCAUCUCCUCUCUCCCCUCCUCCUCACCUCUUGUCUAGAGGACAUUUUCCCAUAAUACCAGCUGUGGUCUUGGCUGGUGUGUGCUUCAAGAUUGUCAAGCGGCUUUUCAUUGUUCUGUCAGAGAUAUAAACCGAUUGUGGGCAUGCAGACCUUAGAUGCACCCUGUCUUUAUUGAGAAUUAUGCAUGAACAAGGGCUGAGUGGCAGGCCAGCGUCUCCAGUUUUUAAAGGGACUACCAAGGAGGAAGAUGAGCAGCCCUGCCUGCAGGCCACCCUUGGGACAGAGCAGUCACCAGCUCAAGUGCAGUAUUGCUCAUUUGCUCCUGUAACCAUCCGAUUAUCAGAUUCUGAUUUUUUAUUUAUUUAUUUUUGUGACCAUGAGAGAUGGAAACGGGGCGAGCUCAAUGUUCAGUGCACCAGCCAUCAUCCCUUCCUUGGUGAGCUGCCUGGGGAGGUGGAGGGUGGGAUCUCUUCAGAAGUCAGUGGGAUAUGGGGGAAGUGAGACCUCCCCGCUGUGAGAAUGCACACACAGUUCCUGCUGUAAAAACACUGCUGGGACAAGUGACCCUUCAAGGGCAUUGGGAGGGGACUUAAUGGUCUCUGUUAAGGAGCCCUGCACAUUUUAAAGCUGUUUUUCCACCCACACAAAGCUUUUUUUCUCUGAGGGGAUGGUUGAAUAAAUACAAAUUUGCCCUGCUCUCUGGCUCUGUAACACAGCCCCAACCUGGAUGCAGUGUACAGCUUUAAGGAGAGGGUCCGCAUUCAUUCUGCCAAGGGCAGAAGUGGCAGCAGCCCCCCCUUUGGAUUCAGAUGACACUAAGGGGGGGGGGGGCAUGUCUCUGCUUGCCCCCUUCCUUAAAUGGCACCAUGAAGGAGUCAUUUCUUGGGCUCCACUAAGGGACCAGUCUCUUUUAUAAAUCAAAUACCCAUGAGCACCUGGCUCUGCCCAGAGAUGUCUCCUCUUCCCCACCAGAAGGACAGAUACCGUGUACACAAGUAACCAGGCUCUCUUAGUUGCUGGUGAGAAGGAGAGUCUUUCUCUCUCACCUGUGUGGUAGAAGGAAGAAGAAAGGACAGCUCAGACCAGGAAUCUUCCCUGAGGUGUCCUGGCACCCAGUGGAGUCAGAUUCUAGCCUCACCUGGCCAGUUCCUUAUCCCAGCGAGGACUUGGAUGCUGUUGUGGGAUGCUGAUGAGGAUGGUGACUAUGGCUGGAAAGCCUGUCGCUUUGCUGAGGAUCAACCCAGCACACACGCACGCACACGCAUACGCACACACACACACACCACAACAGGAAACAACCUUAGAACUCCUUGGACACUGGCAGAAUUUGACACAAAUAAAAGACAGUAGAGAGUCUGGUUAGGAAGGUGGGAGGCACCCCGGGGCAAGCACUACCUACCAGGCUGUGUGAUUCUUGACAAACUGUAAUUCUGCACAGUGGACUAAACAAACAAUAAAGGUGCAGUGGGGGAAACUAUUGGUGUCGCCAACUUCCUCGUGAGCCCGUGUGUAAUUGUUUGAUGUAAUAAAACUUGACCGUGGCUG
ensembl:lincRNA